UACGUAGGUGGCAAGCGUUGUCCGGAUUUACUGGGCGUAAAGAGCUCGUAGGCGGCUUGUCGCGUCGAUUGUGAAAGCCCGGGGCUUAACUCCGGGUCUGCAGUCGAUACGGGCAGGCUAGAGUGUGGUAGGGGAGAUCGGAAUUCCUGGUGUAGCGGUGAAAUGCGCAGAUAUCAGGAGGAACACCGGUGGCGAAGGCGGAUCUCUGGGCCAUUACUGACGCUGAGGAGCGAAAGCGUGGGGAGCGAACAGG
rnacentral:rRNA from 1 species